ACCGCGAUAGCUCAGCUGGUAGAGCAUCUGCCCGGUAUGCGGAGGUCGCCGGUUCGAUUCCGGCUCGCGGCG
rnacentral:tRNA from 1 species